UGGGGAAUAUUGGACAAUGGGCGAAAGCCUGAUCCAGCCAUGCUGCGUGUGUGAAGAAGGUCUUCGGAUGGUAAAGCACUUUAAGUUGGGAGGAAGGGCAGUAAGCGAAUACCUUGCUGUUUUGACGUUACCGACAGAAUAAGCACCGGCUAACGCUGUGCCAGCAGCCGCGGUAAUACAGAGGGUGCAAGCGUUAAUCGGAAUUACUGGGCGUAAAGCGCGCGUAGGUGGUUCGUUAAGUUGAAUGUGAAAGCCCCGGGCUCAACCUGGGAACUGAAUCCAAACCUGGCGAGCUAGAGUAGGGCAGAGGGUGGUGGAAUUUCCUGUGUAGCGGUGAAAUGCGUAGAUAUAGGAAGGAACACCAGUGGCGAAGGCGACCACCUGGGCUUAUACUGACACUGAGGUGCGAAAGCGUGGGGAGCAAACAGG
rnacentral:rRNA from 1 species